ACCAAGGCGACGAUCAGUAGCCGACCUGAGAGGGUGAUCGGCCACAUUGGAACUGAGACACGGUCCAAACUCCUACGGGAGGCAGCAGUGGGGAAUAUUGCACAAUGGGCGAAAGCCUGAUGCAGCAACGCCGCGUGAGUGAUGAAGGCCUUCGGGUCGUAAAACUCUGUCCUCAAGGAAGAUAAUGACGGUACUUGAGGAGGAAGCCCCGGCUAACUACGUGCCAGCAGCCGCGGUAAUACGUAGGGGGCUAGCGUUAUCCGGAUUUACUGGGCGUAAAGGGUGCGUAGGCGGUCUUUCAAGUCAGGAGUGAAAGGCUACGGCUCAACCGUAGUAAGCUCUUGAAACUGGGAGACUUGAGUGCAGGAGAGGAGAGUGGAAUUCCUAGUGUAGCGGUGAAAUGCGUAGAUAUUAGGAGGAACACCAGUUGCGAAGGCGGCUCUCUGGACUGUAACUGACGCUGAGGCACGAAAGCGUGGGGAGCAAACAGGAUUAGAUACCCUGGUAGUCCACGCUGUAAA
rnacentral:rRNA from 1 species